GGCCCACCCACCAGGCGGGAAGGACCAGGGUUGGAGGGGAAGCAGGAAUGAAAUGCACGAAGAAGACAAGGAGCGUAAUUCCUUUCUGCUUUAGACAAUUGCUUAGAAAUUACACCACAAGGAUGCAAAGGCUUGUCAGGGGACUCUGUUUUGGAUAUAACAACUCCCACACCCACCUCAGAGGCAUCAACUUCCAAUAUAAAUGGCAAGGAUGGGUCUGGGUGUUUCAUGAUGGGAUAUGAGGAAAAUGUGCAUUUUAGAAAUUGGAAAGUUGAAACUCCAGGAAUAGGAAUCAGCGUCUUUUUUUGUUAAACGGGUGAUAGGUGCAGUGAUGGAAGAAAAGUUCUUAAUAUACCUUCUAUAAUAAUUUGCAAAGCCAACAAAGCGCUGGAUGGCUACUAGUCUGUUUCUUGUUCUCGUAUACUGGUAUAGAAUAGUCUAUUUCUUGUUCUAGUAUACUGUCUCCUGUAUUAUAUUAUCUAUAUCAAUGAGGUAGUCUAUAAGAUCUUCCAAAGCAACAGGGAGUUCUCUAGCUGCUACCUCAUCUAAUAUAACAUCAGACAAUCCCUCCAUAAAGGCAGAGGCAAGACCGCUAUUGGUCAAUGACAG